CGAUGAUUCUUGAGGCGGGGCAUCAGAGGCCGCGGCUGAUUUGCGGUGCCGCCUCAGAUGCUUCGACACACUGGAGCCGUGCUUGGAAGGUGAGCUCAGAGGGGAGCCGAAGCCGGUAGAUAGUAGGUGUCUUGGUGCAUUCGUUAGGAGGAAUUGUGGAACCAACCAUCUGAUGCCAAUGCCGACUCUCCCAGAGGAUCAACCGGCUGCAACAGACUUCAGGAAAGUGAUCUCAAGG